AUUGAACGCUGGCGGCAUGCCUUACACAUGCAAGUCGAACGGCAGCACGGGGCAACCUGGUGGCGAGUGGCGAACGGGUGAGUAAUGCAUCGGAACGUACCUUUCAGUGGGGGAUAACGUAGCGAAAGUUACGCUAAUACCGCAUAUUCUGUGAGCAGGAAAGCAGGGGAUCGCAAGACCUUGCGCUGAUUGAGCGGCCGAUGUCAGAUUAGCUAGUUGGUGAGGUAAAGGCUCACCAAGGCGACGAUCUGUAGCGGGUCUGAGAGGAUGAUCCGCCACACUGGAACUGAGACACGGUCCAGACGGCUACGGGAGGCAGCAGUGGGGAAUUUUGGAAAAUGGGGGAAACCCUGAUCCAGCCAUGCCGCGUGAGUGAAGAAGGCCUUCGGGUUGUAAAGCUCUUUCGGCCGGGAAGAAAUCGCACGGGCUAAUACCCUGUGUGGAUGACGGUACCGGAAUAAGAAGCACCGGCUAACUACGUGCCAGCCGCCGCCGUAAUAC
rnacentral:rRNA from 1 species